GUGAAAAUACUUAGAUCCACUGAUGAGCUCCUUCCAUUGCACCACGUAUUCCCAGACUAUGAAAUAUUUUGAGGUGCACAAGUAUUUCCGAAAACAAUGAAGGCUUUGGAUGACUUGUUGGGUUGGUAUUACUUGGUUUGUCAAGAAAAGGAUAACUGCUUGCCACUAAAUCUUCCUACACUUGAGGAUGGACUGAGUUCUGGAGGUUAAGGAGCACAUAUGCAGGAUGUUUGAAAAGGUUUGAAAUAAGGCAAAUGCUUGAAAAAUGUUUAAGAUACUAAAAGCGGUGGAAAUGGUGCUGGGUGAAUGUACAUGGCUUGGACUUGUUGGAAGAUGU